UACGGGGGGGGCAAGCGUUGUUCGGAAUUACUGGGCGUAAAGGGCUCGUAGGCGGCCAACUAAGUCGGACGUGAAAUCCCCAGGCUCAACCUGGGAACUGCGUCCGAUACUGGAUGGCUUGAAUUCGGGAGAGGGAUGCAGAAUUCCAGGUGUAGCGGUGAAAUGCGUAGAUAUCUGGAGGAAUACCGGUGGCGAAGGCGGCAUCCUGGACCGACAUUGACGCUGAGGCGCGAAAGCUAGGGUAGCAAACGGG
rnacentral:rRNA from 1 species